GAAAUGCGAUAAGUAAUGUGAAUUGCAGAAUUCAGUGAAUCAUCGAAUCUUUGAACGCACCUUGCGCUCCUUGGUAUCCCUUGGAGCAUGCCUGUUUGAGUAUCAUGAAAUCUUCAAAGUAAAUCUUUUGUUAACUCAAUUGGUUUCUACUUUGGUAUUGGAGGUCUUUGCAGCUUCACACCUGCCCCUCUUUGUUCAUUAGCUGGAUCUCAGUGUUAUGCUUGGUUCCACUCGGCGUGAUAAGUUAUCUAUCGCUGAGGACACUGUAAAAGGUGGCCAAGGUAAAUGCAGAUGAACCGCUUCUAAUAGUCCAUUGACUUGGACAAUACUUUUAUGAUCUGAUCUCAAAUCAGGUAGGACUACCCGCUGAACUUAAGC
rnacentral:misc_RNA from 1 species